rnacentral:rRNA from 1 species
CCUACGGGCGGCAGCAGUGGGGAAUAUUGGACAAUGCGGGGAACCCUGAUCCAGCGACGCCGCGUGAGUGAAGAAGUAUUUCGGUACGUAAAGUUCUAUCAGCAGGGAAGAAAAUGACGGUACCUGACUAAGAAGGUACUGCUAACUCCGUGCUAGCAGCCGCCGUAAUACGGAGGGGGCAAGCGUUCUGCGGAGUUACUGGGUGUAAAGAGAACGUAGACGGUGCAGCAAGUCAGAAGUGAAAGAUUAGAGCUCAACCUCAGGACAGCGAGGGAAACUAUAAUACUAGAGUACAAGAGAGGAUAGCAGAAUUCCUGGUGUAGCGGUGAAAUGCGUAGAUAUUAGGAGGAACACCGGUAGCGAAGGCGGCUAACUGGACUGAAACUGACGUUGAGGCUCGAAAGCGUGGGGAGCAAACAGGAUUAGAUACCCUUGUAGUC